ACAACCGGGGCGCAGCGGGAGGCAUGGAGGAAACGCUCCAGCAGCCCAACCUCGCCAGGGCACCGCGCAGGAGAGGCGCGGCCUCAGGCAGGCCUGGGUCCAGCCCGGGCUUACCCCUCAUCGGCUGUGAGAUCCUGCCCCUUCCCCUCUCUGGCGUCCACUCUCUUAUCUGGAAUACUGGGACAGCGACCCUCCCACAGAGGAAAACGCCGCGUGCUGGCCGGGAGGACAGGGCCCAUCUUUGGCAGCUCUGAUCGCCCACGCCAGGAGCUCCUCAGGCACCAGCUGCCUGGUGCUCACAGGCGGGCAUCAAGAGAGGACCAUCAUUCCCCAUUUUACAGAUGGACAAACCAAGGCCACCUUCUCCUUCAUCACCUCAGUCUCGACACAGUUCCAGGGAUGCCAGGGAGAAAGGCAGCUGUAGCCCAGGGCGAGGCUGAGAUGGAGCAAGAAGGCAG
rnacentral:sRNA from 1 species